rnacentral:rRNA from 1 species
AUGAUGAGCGGCGGCAGGAUGAACGCGUCUGCGAGCGACGACUUCCCGUUCGGGGCAAUGCAGCCGCCGCCCUACGUCGGCUUCGAGCACGCCGGCAUGCUGCAGGCCGGCGGCGGAGGGGGAGGCCAGCGCCACCAGGGCGCGAUGAUGUACGACAACUUCGACUUCGCGGCGGCCGCGGCCGCCUUUGGCCAGUUCCAGGACACGCCGCACCACCAGAUGCUGGCGCUGCCGCCGAACGGAAGCGGCGCUGGCGGGCUGCUCCCCAUGGCCCCGCCGCCCAUGCCCGGGAUGCAGCUGCAGAUGCCGCCCAUGGGCAUGCACGGCCACGGCGACGUGUACCCGGCGCUCGGGAUGGUGAAGCGCGAGGGCGGCGGCGCGGGCGACGCGGGGAGGAUCGGGCUCAACCUCGGCCGGCGGACCUACUUUUCCCCCGGCGACAUGAUGGCCGUGGACCGGCUGCUGAUGCGUUCCCGCCUGGGCGGCGUGUUCGGGCUCGGGUUCGGCGGCGCGCACCACCAGCCGCCUCGGUGCCAGGCGGAGGGCUGCAAGGCGGACCUCUCCGGCGCCAAGCACUACCACCGGCGACACAAGGUGUGCGAGUACCACGCCAAGGCGUCCCUCGUCGCCGCCGCCGGCAAGCAGCAGCGCUUCUGCCAGCAGUGCAGCAGGUUCCACGUGCUCACCGAGUUCGACGAGGCCAAGAGGAGCUGCCGGAAGAGGCUGGCCGAGCACAACCGCCGCCGGAGGAAGCCGGCGAGCAGCAGCACGACGGCAACGUCCAAGGACUCGGCGCCGCCUUCCAAGAAACACAACGCCGGUGCCAUCUCCAGCUCCUAUGCCGCCGACAACAACACAGCUUUGAGCGCCGCCAAGUCGACCAUCUCAUCGAACACGAGCGCCAUCAGCUGCCUGCAGCAGCACGACCAGAGCAAGGCGGCGGCGGCGGCGAGGCCGAUGACACUCACCCUCGGCGAGCCGCGGGAGAAGGACGACCACCAGCAGCAGCUCAACAGCGCCAUGCAGCUCCACCACCACCACCAGGAGCAGCAGCACUUCAUCACCUCCCUGCUUCAGCAGAACAACAACGACGGCAACGGCAACAGCAACAUCCUGUCGUGCUCCUCGGUGUGCUCCAGUGGGUUGCCAUCCGCCGGGGCGGCCAACGGCGAGGUCUCCGACCAGAACAACACCAGCAACCAUGGCGGCGGCGGCAACAACAACAAUAACAUGCAUCUGUUUGAGGUGGACUUCAUGUAG